AACGAACGCUGGCGGCAUGCCUAACACAUGCAAGUCGAACGAGAUCUUCGGAUCUAGUGGCGCACGGGUGCGUGACACGUGGGAAUCUGCCCUUUGGUUCGGAAUAACUCAGGGAAACUUGAGCUAAUACCGGAUGAUGACGUAAGUCCAAAGAUUUAUCGCCAAAGGAUGAGCCCGCGUAGGAUUAGCUAGUUGGUGAGGUAAAGGCUCACCAAGGCUACGAUCCUUAGCUGGUCUGAGAGGAUGAUCAGCCACACUGGGACUGAGACACGGCCCAGACUCCUACGGGAGGCAGCAGUGGGGAAUAUUGGACAAUGGGGGAAACCCUGAUCCAGCGAUGCCGCGUGAGCGAUGAAGGCCUUAGGGUUGUAAAGCUCUUUUACCCGGGAUGAUAAUGACAGUACCGGGAGAAUAAGCCCCGGCUAACUCCGUGCCAGCCGCCGCCGUAA
rnacentral:rRNA from 1 species